rnacentral:rRNA from 1 species
UACGUAGGGUGCAAGCGUUGUCCGGAAUUAUUGGGCGUAAAGAGCUCGUAGGCGGUCUGUCGCGUCGAAUGUGAAAAUCCGGGGCUCAACCCCGGACCUGCAUUCGAUACGGGCAGACUAGAGUUCGGUAGGGGAGACUGGAAUUCCUGGUGUAGCGGUGAAAUGCGCAGAUAUCAGGAGGAACACCGGUGGCGAAGGCGGGUCUCUGGGCCGAUACUGACGCUGAGGAGCGAAAGCGUGGGGAGCAACAGG